rnacentral:rRNA from 1 species
CCUACGGGAGGCAGCAGUGGGGAAUAUUGCACAAUGGGGGAAACCCUGAUGCAGCGACGCCGCGUGAGUGAAGAAGUAAUUCGUUAUGUAAAGCUCUAUCAGCAGGGAAGAAAAUGACGGUACCUGAGUAAGAAGCCCCGGCUAAUUACGUGCCAGCAGCCGCGGUAAUACGUAGGGGGCAAGCGUUAUCCGGAUUUACUGGGUGGAAAGGGAGCGUGGACGGCAGUGCAAGUCUGGAGUGAAAGGCGGGGGCUCAACCCCCGGACUGCUCUGGAGACUGUACGGCUGGAGUGCAGGAGAGGUAAGUGGAAUUCCUAGUGUAGCAGUGAAAUGCGUAGAUAUUAGGAGGAACACCAGUGGCGAAGGCGGCUUACUGGACUGUAACUGACGUUGAGGCUCGAAAGCGUGGGGAGCAAACAGGAUUAGAUACCCUUGUAGUC